rnacentral:rRNA from 1 species
GGGUUGUGAGGUUAAGCGACUAAGCGUACACGGUGGAUGCCCUGGCAGUCAGAGGCGAUGAAGGACGUGCUAAUCUGCGAUAAGCGUCGGUAAGGUGAUAUGAACCGUUAUAACCGGCGAUUUCCGAAUGGGGAAACCCAGUGUGUUUCGACACACUAUCAUUAACUGAAUCCAUAGGUUAAUGAGGCGAACCGGGGGAACUGAAACAUCUAAGUACCCCGAGGAAAAGAAAUCAACCGAGAUUCCCCCAGUAGCGGCGAGCGAACGGGGAGGAGCCCAGAGCCUGAAUCAGUGUGUGUGUUAGUGGAAGCGUCUGGAAAGGCGCGCGAUACAGGGUGACAGCCCCGUACACAAAAAUGCACAUAUUGUGAGCUCGAUGAGUAGGGCGGGACACGUGGUAUCCUGUCUGAAUAUGGGGGGACCAUCCUCCAAGGCUAAAUACUCCUGACUGACCGAUAGUGAACCAGUACCGUGAGGGAAAGGCGAAAAGAACCCCGGCGAGGGGAGUGAAAAAGAACCUGAAACCGUGUACGUACAAGCAGUGGGAGCACGCUUAGGCGUGUGACUGCGUACCUUUUGUAUAAUGGGUCAGCGACUUAUAUUCUGUAGCAAGGUUAACCGAAUAGGGGAGCCGAAGGGAAACCGAGUCUUAACUGGGCGUUAAGUUGCAGGGUAUAGACCCGAAACCCGGUGAUCUAGCCAUGGGCAGGUUGAAGGUUGGGUAACACUAACUGGAGGACCGAACCGACUAAUGUUGAAAAAUUAGCGGAUGACUUGUGGCUGGGGGUGAAAGGCCAAUCAAACCGGGAGAUAGCUGGUUCUCCCCGAAAGCUAUUUAGGUAGCGCCUCGUGAAUUCAUCUCCGGGGGUAGAGCACUGUUUCGGCAAGGGGGUCAUCCCGACUUACCAACCCGAUGCAAACUGCGAAUACCGGAGAAUGUUAUCACGGGAGACACACGGCGGGUGCUAACGUCCGUCGUGAAGAGGGAAACAACCCAGACCGCCAGCUAAGGUCCCAAAGUCAUGGUUAAGUGGGAAACGAUGUGGGAAGGCCCAGACAGCCAGGAUGUUGGCUUAGAAGCAGCCAUCAUUUAAAGAAAGCGUAAUAGCUCACUGGUCGAGUCGGCCUGCGCGGAAGAUGUAACGGGGCUAAACCAUGCACCGAAGCUGCGGCAGCGACACUAUGUGUUGUUGGGUAGGGGAGCGUUCUGUAAGCCUGUGAAGGUGUGCUGUGAGGCAUGCUGGAGGUAUCAGAAGUGCGAAUGCUGACAUAAGUAACGAUAAAGCGGGUGAAAAGCCCGCUCGCCGGAAGACCAAGGGUUCCUGUCCAACGUUAAUCGGGGCAGGGUGAGUCGACCCCUAAGGCGAGGCCGAAAGGCGUAGUCGAUGGGAAACAGGUUAAUAUUCCUGUACUUGGUGUUACUGCGAAGGGGGGACGGAGAAGGCUAUGUUGGCCGGGCGACGGUUGUCCCGGUUUAAGCGUGUAGGCUGGUUUUCCAGGCAAAUCCGGAAAAUCAAGGCUGAGGCGUGAUGACGAGGCACUACGGUGCUGAAGCAACAAAUGCCCUGCUUCCAGGAAAAGCCUCUAAGCAUCAGGUAACAUCAAAUCGUACCCCAAACCGACACAGGUGGUCAGGUAGAGAAUACCAAGGCGCUUGAGAGAACUCGGGUGAAGGAACUAGGCAAAAUGGUGCCGUAACUUCGGGAGAAGGCACGCUGAUAUGUAGGUGAGGUCCCUCGCGGAUGGAGCUGAAAUCAGUCGAAGAUACCAGCUGGCUGCAACUGUUUAUUAAAAACACAGCACUGUGCAAACACGAAAGUGGACGUAUACGGUGUGACGCCUGCCCGGUGCCGGAAGGUUAAUUGAUGGGGUCAGCGCAAGCGAAGCUCUUGAUCGAAGCCCCGGUAAACGGCGGCCGUAACUAUAACGGUCCUAAGGUAGCGAAAUUCCUUGUCGGGUAAGUUCCGACCUGCACGAAUGGCGUAAUGAUGGCCAGGCUGUCUCCACCCGAGACUCAGUGAAAUUGAACUCGCUGUGAAGAUGCAGUGUACCCGCGGCAAGACGGAAAGACCCCGUGAACCUUUACUAUAGCUUGACACUGAACAUUGAGCCUUGAUGUGUAGGAUAGGUGGGAGGCUUGGAAGUGUGGACGCCAGUCUGCAUGGAGCCGACCUUGAAAUACCACCCUUUAAUGUUUGAUGUUCUAACGUUGACCCGUAAUCCGGGUUGCGGACAGUGUCUGGUGGGUAGUUUGACUGGGGCGGUCUCCUCCUAAAGAGUAACGGAGGAGCACGAAGGUUGGCUAAUCCUGGUCGGACAUCAGGAGGUUAGUGCAAUGGCAUAAGCCAGCUUGACUGCGAGCGUGACGGCGCGAGCAGGUGCGAAAGCAGGUCAUAGUGAUCCGGUGGUUCUGAAUGGAAGGGCCAUCGCUCAACGGAUAAAAGGUACUCCGGGGAUAACAGGCUGAUACCGCCCAAGAGUUCAUAUCGACGGCGGUGUUUGGCACCUCGAUGUCGGCUCAUCACAUCCUGGGGCUGAAGUAGGUCCCAAGGGUAUGGCUGUUCGCCAUUUAAAGUGGUACGCGAGCUGGGUUUAGAACGUCGUGAGACAGUUCGGUCCCUAUCUGCCGUGGGCGCUGGAGAACUGAGGGGGGCUGCUCCUAGUACGAGAGGACCGGAGUGGACGCAUCACUGGUGUUCGGGUUGUCAUGCCAAUGGCACUGCCCGGUAGCUAAAUGCGGAAGAGAUAAGUGCUGAAAGCAUCUAAGCACGAAACUUGCCCCGAGAUGAGUUCUCCCUGACCCUUUAAGGGUCCUGAAGGAACGUUGAAGACGACGACGUUGAUAGGCCGGGUGUGUAAGCGCAGCGAUGCGUUGAGCUAACCGGUACUAAUGAACCGUGAGGCUUAACCUUACAACGCCGAAGCUGUU